rnacentral:rRNA from 1 species
UGAUCCUGCCAUGCCGCGUGAUUGAUGAAGGCCCUAGGGUUGUAAAGAUCUUUCAACAGUGAAGAUAAUGACGGUAACUGUAGAAGAAGCUCCGGCUAACUCCGUGCCAGCAGCCGCGGUAAUACGGAGGGAGCUAGCGUUGUUCGGAAUUACUGGGCGUAAAGCGCGCGUAGGCGGAUUAUUAAGUCAGAGGUGAAAUCCCGGGGCUCAACCCCGGAACUGCCUUUGAUACUGGUAGUCUAGAGGUCGAGAGAGGUGAGUGGAAUUCCGAGUGUAGAGGUGAAAUUCGUAGAUAUUCGGAGGAACACCAGUGGCGAAGGCGGCUCACUGGCUCGAUACUGACGCUGAGGUGCGAAAGUGUGGGUAGCAAACAGGAUUAGAUACCCUGGUAGUCCACACCGUAAACGAUGAAUGCUAGUCGUCAGGGGACUUGUCCUUUGGUGACGCAGCUAACGCAUUAAGCAUUCCGCCUGGGGAGUACGGUCGCAAGAUUAAAACUCAAAGAAAUUUACGGGGGG